rnacentral:lncRNA from 1 species
GGAGGCGGCACGGCCUCCUCGUGCUAAAAUUCUCUUCCUCCCUACCAGGAGUCGGGCGCCGUGCGGGUGUCCUCUGUCCGUCUCUACGGAGACAUGGUGCAGGCCGUGGUCUGGUGCCACCAGAGGAAAAUGAAGGGGACGGCGCGCAGGGGUCUGGUCCCGCUGCUCUUUCGGAUGAGAGAUGAGAACCAGGACGUGGCCCAGGUACAGUUUCCGUCCCACCAAGGGCAUGGUGACACUGUUUGGGUGCUCUGGGUGCCAGGGCCCAUGGCUGCUGCUCCUACAGCCUGGGCUCAGAGUUCUGCCACCGGCCGCCUGGGCGUCGAGGGCCCGGGACAGAGCCAGCUGGGAGCCCAGCGUCAUGCUGGGGAUGGCCGUGGAGGGGCUGCUGGCUCCGUGUCUCUGUGUGGCCAUCUUGCACAGCCCGUUUUCUGUCCCCCUUCCCACAGCGCGCUGGGAAAGGCUCCCGGCCCUGCCAAGAGGAGGGCAGUGCCGGGUCUCCUUCCUGGGGCCAUGGUGCCAUCUGCCAGCUUCUGCUUCCCUGCAGGCCGCCGGGAGAGCCAUUGUACAAACGGCAAAUCUCCUGCGCUGGAACGACCUCCGGCAGCUGGCUGAGAAAGGGGAGACAUGGAGGAUCGCGGAGUGCUUGGUAGGGAGAACCCUGCAGCCCCAGGCCAACGGGGACAGCUCUGCUAGCUGGAGAGAGUCUGCAAUCCCCGUGCUGUUGUGCUUUCUGCAGCUGCGGCGGGACCAGAGCAGGGCAGAGGAAUACCUGCAGGAGAGCCAGCCUUACCUGCAGGACCCUCAGGCGGCCUUGCGAGAGGAGGCCGUGAGGUUCAUUGGGCUUGCUGCGCGCUAUUCAAGGGACCAGAGGGAGGAGAAGCUAUAGGACAUCAUCAGGGGUAAGCGAGGGCUGUGGUGUGUGUACUGAAGCUGGGGGUAGAGACCCCCGUGCCUUGCUCUGCUCCAAGGAAAUUCUUGGGGCUGAGGGACAAUACCGAACCAUGGAAUCCUAGAGUGACUGGGUUGGAAGGGAGCUCAAAGAUGAUGCAGCCAUGAGAUCCCAGAGUGGUAGAAUGGUUAGCUUGGAAGGGAUCUUAAAGGCCAUCCAGUUCCAACCCCCUGCUGUGUCCUGGAUGCCCCCCACUGGAGCAGGCUGCCCAGGGCCCCAUCCAACCUGGCCGUGAGCACCUCCAGGGACGGGGAGCCCACGUGUUUUCUGGGCUGCCUGUUCCACGGCUUCCCUGCCCUCUGAGGAAAGAACUUCCUCCUAAGUCAGAGUCAGAGGAAAGGGCAGCAAGGUGGGAACCCAAGCGCGAUGAAGAGGGAGAUGGUAUCUCCCACAAGCAGCUAAGGAGGAGUUUCACUGGGGGAUGCCAAUGUCACCGAUGUCUGCUGGGAGUAGAAUACCUGGAGAGGAAACAGCUGGGGAGAUUCUUGGAGUGUGUGAAGGAGACCCUCCUUUACAGGACGUGAGGGAAUCUCGGAGGGC